rnacentral:rRNA from 1 species
CCUACGGGGGGCAGCAGUGGGGAAUAUGGACAAUGGGGGGAACCCUGAUCCAGCCAUGCCGCGUGUGUGAAGAAGGCCCUCGGGUUGUAAAGCACUUUCAGUGAGGAAGAACGCCUGGUGGUUAAUACCCAUCAGGAAAGACAUCACUCACAGAAGAAGCACCGGCUAACUCCGUGCCAGCAGCCGCGGUAAUACGGAGGGUGCGAGCGUUAAUCGGAAUUACUGGGCGUAAAGCGCGCGUAGGUGGCUUGAUAAGCCGGUUGUGAAAGCCCCGGGCUCAACCUGGGAACGGCAUCCGGAACUGUCAAGCUAGAGUGCAGGAGAGGAAGGUAGAAUUCCCGGUGUAGCGGUGAAAUGCGUAGAGAUCGGGAGGAAUACCAGUGGCGAAGGCGGCCUUCUGGACUGACACUGACACUGAGGUGCGAAAGCGUGGGUAGCAAACAGGAUUAGAUACCCUUGUAGUC